rnacentral:lncRNA from 1 species
AGACUGGCGGUGGCAACAAUGACAAACUACAACGUCACAAAGGGCUUCAUGCGGUUCCUCGAAACACCCAAGAGAAGGCUUUAACGUUUCGUGCUCCUGGUUGUCUUCACCGCCUUCUUUGCUCUUUUCCUUCGCCUCAUGCCGCCACCGCUGCAAUAGCGGCACGUUCUGCCUUGUUAUUUUCACAGUUUACUCGCUCUCGACUUACAUACUAACCUACACUUUAAGCCUCACCCACAAAGUUUCAUUUCUACGAUGAUUUUGUUUUAUAAGAUUAUGGGCGUGGAGACUUGACUAUCUGUAGGCUCACAAACCACUUUGCAUGCCCCAUCUUCC